rnacentral:lncRNA from 1 species
UCAAUCUUAUGCAAUAAGGUUUAGAAUAUAAGUUAAUAAAGUAUAAUUUAUGGUUUUACUUAACCAGAUAAUGCCGCCAAGAUGUCAAAAACGAAACCAAAGGGUAGGAGAAACUGUCAUCGAAUCUGAGAGACCACGGAAAACCCGAUGCAAAAAUUUGCAAACAUGGUAGCUCAGGUUCUGCAGCGGGGAAUACCAGCCGCAGGAAACCAAUUAGACAAUCGCUUGGCAAAAUUUAAAGACUUCAAAGCAGUAGG